rnacentral:rRNA from 1 species
UACAGAGGGUGCGAGCGUUGUCCGGAAUCACUGGGCGUAAAGGGCGCGUAGGCGGCCUGAUAAGUAGGGGGUGAAAUCCUGCGGCUCAACCGCAGGGCUGCCUUCUAAACUGUCAGGCUGGAGCACGGUAGAGGCAGAUGGAAUUCCCGGUGUAGCGGUGGAAUGCGUAGAGAUCCGGAAGAACACCGGUGGCGAAGGCGGCCCGCUGGGCAACUGCUGACACUGAUGCGCGACAGCGUGGGGAGCAAACAGG